UCUUUGUCUUCUCUAUUAUAAAAAAGGAGUAACUAGGAAUUCCAAGUGAUUUUGUGGAGGCAUCGUGAGAGGUUUUUUAUUGUCUUUCAGGUUUGUGUUGUGGUUUUAUGAAUUGACUAGGAUCAAGAAGCCAGUAUGUGAAAGUACGUCAAGGACUCCCCUCACAAAUUGGGUGAGACUGAGAGAAGUUGGGGGUUCCCUAAGAUGGGUCACAAUUGAAGCCAAAGCUGAGCAAGCUACUAUAAAGCUUCCAGAGUUUGAGAGCCAAGUUCAAAGAGUAGAUAAGAUUUUUAAAGAACUAGGGAGAGGUUUGCAAGAGAAGGAGCAUGAGAAGGAGAAAGAAAAAGAGAGGGAGACGAAGAAGGAAAAUGAGAAGAUUGAGACCGGUAGGGCACGUAGCCUAAGGCAGCCAAUCCCCAAAAUGAAAAUUAUAAGGGGAUCAGAAGAUAUUAACACUCUUAAAGGAUGGGUUAUUUCUCAUAACAUCGAUGAAGUAGUUGAGCAGCACGAUGAGGUAAUUGAUCAACUGGAAUUGCCUCUGAUGUUUUAAAAGAUGAUCGUGAUGAUAAAUCAAAAUUGCGUCGUGACAUGGAGAGAAAAUUUAAAGAUCAUAGAGCUUCCGACCGAGAAAAGAUAGCUUCUCUAUCUACAAAAAUGAUAAUGUUGAAACAAGAGUUGAGGAAUGCCCAAGGAAGAAACCUAACUAUUUAUAAGAAACUGGCACACAAGCGGAUGAUGCGGACGAGAGAGGUGUCCAACACUAGGAAGGUGUCUAGAGUGAUAGAGAAUCAAACAUGUACAGGUUAGCUAAGUUUAAUAUUACAUAUGAAUUAUAUCGUUUUGUUGUUAAGUUUACAAUUAGUUGUUAAGGUUAGAGAUUGGGUCUGAUGUGGAUAGUUUAGUUGUCAUUGUUGUAUAUUUGUUGUUAAGUAUAUGGAUUGGUUGUUAAUGUUACA